rnacentral:rRNA from 1 species
UACGUAGGGUGCUAGCGUUAUCCGGAUUUACUGGGCGUAAAGCGCGCGUAGGCGGCGAGAUUAGUCUGAUGUGAAAGCCCCCGGCUCAACCGGGGAAGGUCAUUGGAAACUGUUUCGCUUGAGUGCAGAAGAGGAGAGUGGAAUUCCAUGUGUAGCGGUGAAAUGCGCAGAGAUAUGGAGGAACACCAGUGGCGAAGGCGGCUCUCUGGUCUGUAACUGACGCUGAGGCUCGAAAGCGUGGGGAGCAAACAGG